rnacentral:tRNA from 1 species
UUCAAGAUAAUUAUAAUCAAUAAACUGUAAAUUUAAUGAAGGUAGCCAUUACCUCUUGACA